UGCACUGGUGUAUCAUGAUUUUAUGAAGAUGGCUGCCAGUCACAUGGAGGGAACCGGAAUUGCUUUUCUUGAGUUUUCUAAGGCUUACGAAGAUGAGUAUAUAGGCUGUUAUAAAGUUGGGAAAAGGACAAUUUCUGAAGAUUGCCAUUUCAGUGGUCAUUUUUGCGUGAAACAAAUUAUACAAGCAAUAGGCAUGAUAAUUUUGUGGAUGGUGUCACUGUGGUUGCCGCCAUGUUUUGUAGUUCGAUUUGCUCAAUUGAAGGGUUCUGUACUCAUUUUGAUAACUGAGCUGUGUGUGGCAUGAUUACCUCUUACUUAUAAUGAACAGUAAUGUAUUGAUAUUAUUUUGAAAGGAAAGCCCCCUGAGCUAACUGCACAAGAUUUUUGACUGGAAAUAUGUCCAUCAGAAAUGACAAGUUUUGUUUAUCCUGUACCGUGGCGGCCCUGUUCACUCGAACUGGGAAGUCUUGGUUUCUCUGUGAGGACACGCAUCAUUUUACUUGAUGUGUGCGGGUGGACAUGCUGUUUGGAGGAAUGUGGGUGUUCUUUAAAGCCAGCCCUGCAUCACUGUGAAGGUCAGGCUGGCUAUGUCGUAAAAUGUCAUGCUAGAUGAAUUAUUCUCUCAUGAGUUAGGCUACUAUGUAUGAUGGAACUAAUUGGCGACAGCUAAUAAAACAAGUGAUGAAGUUGUGGCUUGAAUGAGUAUAGAGCCAAA